GACGAACGCUGGCGGCGUGCUUAACACAUGCAAGUCGAACGGAAAGGCCCUGCUUUUGUGGGGUGCUCGAGUGGCGAACGGGUGAGUAACACGUGAGUAACCUGCCCUUGACUUUGGGAUAACUUCAGGAAACUGGGGCUCAUACCGGAUAGGAGCUCCUGCUGCAUGGUGGGGGUUGGUAAGUUUCGGCGGUUGGGGAUGGACUCGCGGCUUAUCAGCUUGUUGGUGGGGUAGUGGCUUACCAAGGCUUUGACGGGUAGCCGGCCUGAGAGGGUGACCGGCCACAUGGGGACUGAGAUACGGACCAGACUCCUACGGGAGGCAGCAGUGGGGAAUAUUGCACAAUGGGCGGAAGCCUGAUGCAGCAACGCCGCGUGCGGGAUGACGGCCUUCGGGUUGUAAACCGCUUUCGCCUGUGACGAAGCGUGAGUGACGGUAAUGGGUAAAGAAGCACCGGCUAACUACGUG
rnacentral:rRNA from 1 species